ensembl:lncRNA
UAACUCUUUUCCCACCAAUGACAGAAUUUUCCUGCUUUCCGUGUUUUCACAGGUGUAUGGUAGGAGGCACUAUUACACAUCUUCUGAAAGAGUAUUGAACAUCUGGAUCACAACAAGCAGAAACAAGCAAUCGUAUGCUUAUAAACCUGAGGUGAGAGCAGAGCAGUCAAAGACGAGGACUGGCACAGCGAGGUUUUGCUGAACAAACAAAUACAGCCUGAUUCCGCCUCUUUUCCUCUGAGGAAAUGCAGCCAGUCGACCACUGGCACACAUCAAAGGAUAAGAAAAAGAAAAAUUGAUUUGUGAUGUUAACCAUGUGGCUGACUGGCUGCAGAGAGCUAUUCGUUUGUGUGAGACUGCAUCUAAUAAAAGCGGGCACAGAGGAUCAAGUCUGGACAAAGACGGCAUUCUAUUUACCCUCAAUUGAAUGUGAGCUCUCGCUGACCUCCAAUAUUUAAAAUGGGGUUGUCAUGGAAACUGCUGGUGCUGCAAUUAUUCAUGGGAUGCCUUUCAGGCAGCGGUCCUCUGAGGCCAGUAUUCACCAAACAGCCGGGAAGUAUUGUAUUCCCUCUCCAUCUUAAUGAGCCCAGCCGGGAGGUCACCUUCAGCUGUGAAGCCCAGGGACAUCCGCCCCCGUCCUACAGGUGAGAUCCCAGUGUACCAUGGAUUUUGGUAUCAAAAAGCCAAUAAUAGCUGUAUUUGAUCAUUUUUUGUCAGUGGCAAAGACAAACAGACAAUCCAUAUUACCUGAUUAACCUGUUCAAUCUAAGCUUGAGUUCGAGUGUAAGGACCUUGAAAGUUUUCCUGAGCUCUCAGCACAUGUUGGGUAUUUCUAACAUGAAGGGAACUCUUUUUCAAGUCGCCAAGGACAGAUUAAUUUAUCAAAGAGUGAAG